rnacentral:lncRNA from 1 species
UAGCAGUCAACUGUAGCAAGCUCACUUGUCUGGAGACCUCAGACAUAACAGGAUGUUCUUGUCUUGUCUCCUGACUUCCCAAGACUCAGGAUGAAAAUGCAUCAGUCCAGAGCCUGGAAAUGCGCGGCUGUUUGGAAAUCCUCUUCGAGGAUGCACGCAAGAGCAUGGUGAAUGACCUAGUGCCUUCUGUGCUUCGUGGAGAGACCUGGUUCCUCCACAGAUUUUUCCAAAGCUACCGAUCAGUGGGCACCACACAGCAGGUGCUGGAGCUGCUGUUGAAAAGGUGUGACACCCUCAUGAACUCCUGCCAACAGGGCCGCAUCCUCGCCUGCCUUGGCAGAGGUGGUGAACGUCAAGGCCGACUCAGAGAGUGAGUGGGCUUUGGUGUGA